AGUCCUGCAACGAGCGCAACCCCUAUUUUUAGUUGCUAACAUUUAGUUGAGGACUCUAGAAAGACUGCCUGGGUAACCAGGAGGAAGGUGGGGAUGACGUCAAAUCAUCAUGCCUCUUACAAGUGGGGCUACACACGUGCUACAAUGGCUAAUACAAAAAGAUGCAACCUCGUGAGAGCAAGCAAAUCUUAUAAAAUUAGUCUCAGUUCGGAUUGAAGUCUGCAACUCGACUUCAUGAAGUCGGAAUUGCUAGUAAUCGUAGGUCAGCAAUACUACGGUGAAUACGUUCUCGGGUCUUGUACACACCGCCCGU
rnacentral:rRNA from 1 species